UUUAUGGAGAGUUUGAUCCUGGCUCAGGAUGAACGCUGGCGGCGUGCCUAAUACAUGCAAGUCGAGCGAACGGACGAGAAGCUUGCUUCUCUGAUGUUAGCGGCGGACGGGUGAGUAACACGUGGAUAACCUACCUAUAAGACUGGGAUAACUUCGGGAAACCGGAGCUAAUACCGGAUAAUAUUUUAAACCGCAUGGUUCAAAAGUGAAAGACGGUCUUGCUGUCACUUAUAGAUGGAUCCGCGCUGCAUUAGCUAGUUGGUAAGGUAACGGCUUACCAAGGCAACGAUGCAUAGCCGACCUGAGAGGGUGAUCGGCCACACUGGAACUGAGACACGGUCCAGACUCCUACGGGAGGCAGCAGUAGGGAAUCUUCCGCAAUGGGCGAAAGCCUGACGGAGCAACGCCGCGUGAGUGAUGAAG
rnacentral:rRNA from 1 species